GCUACAGUGCUACUGGCCCAUAAUCAGGCAACUGCAGAGUCUUAGGGGGUUAUCUAAUGUAGUCUUGGGGUGGCUGGAUAGACUUCCCAAAGAAGGUGAUGCCGAAGCUGAGGUCGGAAAUUACGAAGAUCAGCUAUAGGGCAGAGCAGAAAGAUGUGAAGGGGGCUCAGAAAUGGACGGAGGUGAGCCAUGGAGCAGUGUCCAGGGUUGAAAUCUGAAGGUGCUGCUUCUGCUUGGAACUUUUACCUAAGGAAACUGAUAUGAGAGCAAACUUGGAAAUCAUGUCUUAGAGAUCAAGGAGCCAAGAGAUGAGACAAGCCUGGGUUCCUAGGUGAUAGGGUGUGGCUGUGUCCCCACCCAAAUCUCGUCUUGAAUUGUAGCUCCCAUAAUCCCCACAUGUUGUGGAGGGACCCUGUGGAAGAUUGUGCCUGCAGCCUGGCCUGUUGCCCACAGCGGUCUACCUGCCACACUGGGAAAGAUCGAGCAGAGACAGAGAAGAAAAGGAGGCUCCAUUUUUCAGGCUGCUCUCCCGCAGGCUCAUGUUUUGUGUUCAUGCCAGGCAGAGAACACAAAAUGUUCCAAUAAAUAAGUAUCAAAGGUUAGUGGUGAAAAUGAAGGAGGAGGAGGCAUUGCGUGAAAAACUAAACAUGCAAAAUAUUACACACAAAGAGAACCAAAAUGCAGGUUCACUGGAAAUGAUAGACAAUAUGUUAAAACAAGAGGAGAGAAGAGAGCUGAAAUAAUCAAAUGGAAACACACAAUUUAGGGCUAAGAUCUUGUUGUGUUCAGCCACAAAUGAUGGCCAGCAGUGAGGAAUCUGUGUGUUCUCCACACUCUUCGCUCCUGGGAAGUCAACUCACAUGGACCAUGAUAUCAAUAUCUGCUCCUUCCCCUAAUAUCUGUUUGACCUUGGGUCAGUUACUUAAACUUCCUAAGCCUUAGUUUCUUUGUCUGGAAAAUAGGGAUAGUUAUACCUACCACACAACCACUUUGUAAUGAAUAUGUUGGAAAUUAUAUGCAAAUUGGCUUCCGUUGGUGUUUGGAACAUAGUAGGUUUUUAACUGGAAUAUAAUAGCUACCAUUAUCAGUAUCAUCAUAUUAAUUUAUAUUUCCAUCUUCAGCCCUUAACCCAGGAUCUUCAGUAAAUGUUGAAUUCUCAAAUUUGUUAAAUUCACUUGUCUAUACUAAUAUUUUACUCUAGGUUUCUUAGAAUAUUCUAGAUAAUAUUAUUAUGUAGAAUAUGUUAUGUAAGCUUCAUCUUAUCUGUAAAUAUAGUUUUACUUUUUCCUUUCUAAUUUUUAUGUCGAUUACUUCUUUUUCUUGGCUUAUUGAAUUGGCUAGGAUUCCCGUACAGUGUUGAAUACGUGCAGCAAGACUGCACAUCUUGCCUUGUUCCUGGUCCCACAGAGAGAAUAUCCAGUACUUCACAAUAAGUAUGUGUUAAUUGUAGAUUUUAUUAGAUUGAGGAAGUUCCCUUUCCUUUCAAGUCAGUCUUUUUAUUUUAAACAUGUAUUGAAGUUUUGUCAAAUGUCUUCAUCUAUUGGAAUAAUUAUACAUAUCUCUUUUUUAUUCUGUUAAUAUUACAUUUCAAUCUUCUGUCUACCUAAAAUCCCUAGAAUAAUCUCCAUUUGGCUAUGAUGUGUUGUGCUUUUAUAUAUUACUGAAUUCUAUAUGCCAAUAUUAUUAAAA
ensembl:lncRNA CCDC26 CCDC26 long non-coding RNA